CAGUUGACCCAGCCCAUGGGUUUCCGCGCGUACCAUGAUGCGCAG
rnacentral:sRNA from 1 species